AUUGAACGCUGGCGGCAGGCCUAACACAUGCAAGUCGAACGAGUGGCGGACGGGUGAGUAAUGUCUGGGAAACUGCCUGAUGGAGGGGGAUAACUACUGGAAACGGUAGCUAAUACCGCAUACCAUCGGAUGUGCCCAGAUGGGAUUAGCUAGUAGGUGGGGUAAAGGCUCACCUAGGCGACGUGCCUUAGCUGGUCUGAGAGGAUGACCAGCAACACUGGAACUGAGACACGGACCAGACUCCGACGGGAGGCAGCAGUGGGGAAUAUUGCACAAUGGGCGCAAGCCUGAUGCAGCCAUGCCGAGUGUAUGAAGAAGGCCUUCGGGUUGUAAAGUACUUUCAGAGGGGAGGCGUUACCAGCAGAAGAAGCACCGGCUAACUCCGUGCCAGCAGCCGAGGUAAUU
rnacentral:rRNA from 1 species